GAGCCCCACGAGGCCCUGCCGUACUCGGUGACCGAGAGGACCGUGGACAAGUCCACUGGGGGGGAGGUGAGCGCCGAUGAGGAGGGCUUCGAGAACCUCAACACCAUGGCCUCCACCUUCAUCGUCCUGUUCCUGCUCAGCCUCUUCUACAGCACGACAGUCACCCUGUUCAAGGUGAAGUGACCCGCCGGGCAGGAGCGUGGACAUAAGGAGGGGGAGCCCGCCGCCUUGCACCCCAGCCCGGCCUGCCGCUGGGCCCUUGUACAUAAACCCCCCUUGCAGCUUCCAGCGCAAGGAAGCCACUUCCCUGGACUCCCGCAGCCGAGCGCUCGGCCGGGGUCGCUGUGCAGUGUGUGCCCUGUCGCCUUAAAAUAAAUAUGUAUGUUCUCUUGUGA